rnacentral:ribozyme from 1 species
ACAGCUUUGAGGCCAUAGCAGAAGUGUUCAUGGCACAGUCUGUCAGAUUCCAACAAAUCUAUGAAUUCUGCU